rnacentral:rRNA from 1 species
CGGCCAUGGCCCAGGUGAGACGCCCGGUCCCAUUCCGAACCCGGAAGCUAAGGCCUGGCACGGCGAUGGUACUGCACCCGACAGGGUGUGGGAGAGUAGCACGCCGCCGCAU